GAGGAAAAGAAGCUUAAGAUCAAAUGGACAGAGAAAGAGAAGGAAAGCCAAGAGCACCUGAUGCUUUGGAUGCCACUUGUAGGAGCCACACAGUUGGUUGAUCCACCUCACUUCCAUCUUCCUAACAAAGUCAGAGUCAGAGCAAGUGUCCUCCUCUCAAGGGUGCCUUGGAGGAAGCAGCCCACAAUCCCAGUGCUGACCCUCAAGGCAAGUUGUCAACAACAAUCCCAUUUCCCUUGCAAGUUACUGGCUUAAGAAGAUGUAGUUGAUACAGUUCUGUGUGGUAGAACUUGGUAGAAUGUCUUCUAGGGGACUUCAGAAAAUAUUUCCUUGAUUUUUUUUCUCUUUCACCAGUACUGGGGAUGAAACUCAGGGCCUCAUACAUUCAAAGCAAGUGCUUCACCCCCAAACUAUAUCCCUAGUUCUUUAUUUUGAGAUGCCCAGGUCAGCCUCCAACUUGAAAUCCUCUUGCCUCAGCCUUUUGAGUUACCCAGAUUUCAGGCGUGCUCCACUGCACCUGGCCAAGAUUUCCUUGAUCUUAAAAGUUGUGUGUGCACAUCAAAACCACAAUAAGAUGACACUUCUCAGCUACUAGAAUGGCUAGACUAAAAAGCUGAUGGUAACAAAUGUUGGUCGGAGUAUGGAGAAAUCAAAACUCACACACAGUUUUAUUGGGAAUAUAAAAUAGUACAGCAACUUUACAAAACAAUCUAGCAACCAAGUACAGUGGCACAUGCCUGUAAUCCCAGUGGCUCUGGAGGACAAGGCAGGAGGAUACAAAGUUCAAGACCAACCUCAGCAACUUAGCAAGGCCCUAAGCAACUUAGCAAGACCAUGUCUCAAAAUAAAAAAUAAAAGAGGGCUGGGGAAUGGGCUCAGUUGUAAAGCAUCCCUGUAUUCAAUCCCCAGUAUUAAAAAAAAUCUGGCAGUUUCCUCAAACAAUUAGAC
rnacentral:lncRNA from 1 species